rnacentral:rRNA from 1 species
GCUUACGGUCACACUACCCUGAGAACGCCCGAUCUCGUCUGAUCUCGGAAGCUAAGCAGGGUUUGGCCUGGUUAGUACUUGGAUGGAGAC